rnacentral:tRNA from 1 species
GUAUAAAGCAAAACUUGCAUUUAGUUUCGACCUAAAAAAUUUGAUUUAUUAAUCUAUACU